GCCCGGGUAGCUCAGCAGAGAGAGCGCUUGUUUCGUUUACAAGAGGACGAUGGUUCAAGUCCACCCCCGGGCU
rnacentral:tRNA from 1 species